UAAGCAGGGAGGAAGCUGUAUGAGUUCCAUCUCCAUAACAACGAAGAUGAGAACAAUUACAAGAGACCCUUGCCAGCCACCUCCACAAAAUCAGUUUUAACCUCAGAGCAAUGAGGAGUGACAUAGCAAACUAUGUCUGAUGUCUGAACAACACAGGGCAUUGCGCCAGGAAGGAAAGUUUCAUUGUAUUGAGCAGCGGGGACUGGACAUCGCCAACUGCAGCCAAAUUCUACAGACUAUCGAGAAAACAGUUUGCAAAGGAGUGAGAAAAUGUCAGUCAAAAAAACUUACCUGGCUUGGGUGGACAUAGGCAAAGUGGAUUUGAAGAUCCGUCUUUACAAGUCAAAAUUUAUACCAGGAAGCUCUAAUGAAAAUGGUGUCAUCCAACAAAUGUAUAUGUAAAUUCAUUCUAAACACUUAAUGAAUUCAUUCCCAACAUCUG